rnacentral:piRNA from 1 species
UCUGAAUCCUUGUAUCUCAUACCAAACCCUC